rnacentral:rRNA from 1 species
UACGUAGGUGGCAAGCGUUGUCCGGAUUUACUGGGCGUAAAGGGCGUGCAGGCGGUCUGUUAAGUCUAGGGUGAAAGCUCCCGGCUCAACUGGGAGAGGUCCUUGGAUACUGGCAGACUUGAGGAGAGUAGAGGAGAGUGGAAUUCCCGGUGUAGUGGUGAUAUGCGUAGAUAUCGGGAGGAACACCAAUGGCGAAGGCAGCUCGCUGGGACGUUACUGACGCUGAGACGCGAAAGCGUGGGGAGCAAACAGG